CUGCUCUGCAGUGUGAGAUGUGGUCACUCACACAGACUCCUAAUACAGCCCACCGCAUGUAGUCUGGCAAGGUUUUAUUAGCCUCUUCCCCACCAAGCAUGAUGCAAUAGAAGGAACACCAAGCUGAGAUAAAGGUGACAUGGGGAACUGUUGUAGGCAGCUUGAAGGUAUAACUAUAUGCGAAAGCCCCACUGGUUCUGGAGUUGGCCUAUGGAUUUGCAAUGAAUGGAGCAACCAGAAAGGAAUGCAGAUAUAACGGAGAGCCCUCCCUGCCAUCUGCACCCAUGAGCCCACUGCAUCACAGGAUUUUUGCAGGCCCUGCCAU
rnacentral:lncRNA from 1 species